UGGCCCGGUCAUUGGUGACAAUCUAGGAUUGCUAACCUGGAUUUGGGAGUUCGAAUCUCCUCGGGUCAACCA
rnacentral:tRNA from 1 species